GGAGUUAGCCGGUGCUUCUUCUGUGAGUGAUGUCCUUCCUGCCGGCUAUUAACCCGCAGGCCUUCUUCCUCACUGAAAGUGCUUUACAACCCGAAGGCCUUCUUCACACACGCGGCAUGGCUGGAUCAGGGUUGCCCCCAUUGUCCAAUAUUCCCCACUGCUGCCUCCCGUAGGAGUCUGGGCCGUGUCUCAGUCCCAGUGUGGCUGAUCAUCCUCUCAGACCAGCUACGGAUCGUCGCCUUGGUGAGCCGUUACCUCACCAACCAGCUAAUCCGACAUAGGCUCAUCCGAUAGCGCGAGGCCCGAAGGUCCCCCGCUUUCCCCCGUAGGGCGUAUGCGGUAUUAGCCUGGGUUUCCCCAGGUUAUCCCCCACUACCGGGCAGAUUCCUAUGCAUUACUCACCCGUCCGCCGCUCGCCACCAGGGAGCAAGCUCCCCGUGCUGCCGCUCGACUUGCAUGUGUUAGGCCUGCCGCCAGCGUUCAAUCUGAGCCANAAUCAAACUCUGA
rnacentral:rRNA from 1 species